rnacentral:rRNA from 1 species
AACGAACGCUGGCGGCAUGCCUAACACAUGCAAGUCGAACGAAGGCUUCGGCCUUAGUGGCGCACGGGUGAGUAACGCGUGGGAAACUGCCUAUUGGUGGGGAAUAACGACGGGAAACUGUCGCUAAUACCGCAUAAGCCCUUCGGGGGAAAGAUUUGUCGCCGAUAGAUGUGCCAGCGUCCGAUUAGCUAGUUGGUGAGGUAAUGGCUCACCAAGGCGACGAUCGGUAGCUGUCUGAGAGGAUGAUCAGCCACACUGGGACUGAGACACGGCCCAGACUCCUACGGGAGGCAGCAGUGGGGAAUAUUGGACAAUGGGCGAAAGCCUGAUCCAGCAAUGCCGCGUGAGUGAUGAAGGCCUUAGGGUUGUAAAGCUCUUUCGGGUGGGACGAUGAUGACGGUACCACCAGAAGAAGCCCCGGCUAACUUCGUGCCAGCCGCCGCGGUAA